rnacentral:misc_RNA from 1 species
CCGAGUUAUACAACUCCCAACCCCUGUGAAUUAUACCUUUAAUUGUUGCUUCGGCGGGACUUCGCGCCCGCCGGGGACCCAAACCUUCUGAUUUUUUAAUAAGUAUCUUCUGAGUGGUUAAAAAAAUGAAUCA